AUGAAUGCAUUCCAAAUAGAAUUAGCACCACAUCUUGGUUGUCUCCGUUAUGAAAUGUGCACGAAGAAAGACAUCAAAGUCUCUUCCCUAAUAAUGGCUGUACGAGCUUGCAUUUCCACCAACCAUGUAAGAGGGCUCCCCUGUCUCAACAAGUAUUGGCAAGGAUGUGAAAUUGAGCUAUUCUUGACAAGAGAAAAAUGACUCACCCAAGAUUGCUUUAGUUCAGCAAAUUGUAUCACAUCAUGAAAUAGAAUGACAUCUUUGAAGCCAGAGCUCCGUAUUUCUUGAAGCGACAUGUAAGAAAUGGAAAAUGAGCCUCAUUUUCUGAAGAAGGUGGGAAAACAACUUAAAAAAAAACAACAUGAACUCAAAUGAAAUUUUUAUUAAGACAUACCCUGUUCAGUCAUUGCUACCCUAGUUUUUUUAAGGUUCAGUGAAUUCUGUGCAAAUUUUUCUGACUGAUUCAUAUGCCUGCUAUGAGUGAAUUUUUUACAUAUUCCUUGGGCAACUAUGGGAUUAGGAAUAAUGACAUUAGUGGGGAGUAAUGAGUGUUUACUCUCGACCAGAAUCUUGCCU
rnacentral:lncRNA from 1 species